rnacentral:misc_RNA from 1 species
GGCCUACUUUCUCCUCUUGAUGUGUUGUCAAAAGCUGAUUGGUGAAGAAAAGUUAAAAAAUUGCAUCUCCCCACCUUGCCUGUGCACCUUUUCACAAGCAGGUUGUGUGCAUUUUUUAAUUCAACAGGCAGGGUGUGCUUUUAACUCCAUCUUGCAGGCAGGUUGUAGGAUUCACUACGUCUUUCAUUUCAUCUCCUUUUUCUUCCCAUAGCUUGGGUGUGAUAUAUCUUUCAUUUCCACAGCU